UUCCCGUCUCCCCCUUCCUUUCUGUGAGGACGGUGAGGUGCUGGCACAGGCUGCCCAGAGGAGCUGUGGAUGCCCCAUCACUGGAAGUCUUCAAGGCCAGUUUGGAUGGGGAAUCUGACCAGCAUGGUCCAGUGGGAGAUUGGGACUAGAUGGUCUUUAAGACCCAUUCCAACCCCUUAACAUUUCAUAAAUGUUUUCAAUUCUGUGAAAAAGCCAACGUAUCUCUGCCCCCCUGCCCCUGUCUGUGUGUCAUGUAUGCCAGCACCACAAAAAUCAGAAUUAUCUCUUUCCUCCCUGCCUCCUGAAAGGAAGUUUUCUGCAUGUCACCCAUGCUUGUGUACUAUGCAGGGUUGCAAAUGCACUAGAAUAAAUCUCUCUAGCUUAUAUAUAUUUUAGCAAUUAGAGAGAUUCUGUCUGCAUAAGUUCAGAUGGUUCAGUAAGAUCUCAUAUUUUCAGGUGUCCUAAAUCUUUUCUGCUUUAUGUACAUAUAAUGCCAGUGCAAAUAGCCAGAGGGCCAAAAGGAAAACAUGCCAGUGUUUACUUUUCUUGUUACUGGGUUUUAAAUACAAACAGGCAAUAUGUAAAACAGAAAAUUAAAAGAAGAGACAGGAAUGUGGCUAAAAGGGUUAAUUAGGAAUAAGAAUGUCAGAAUUUGGUGCUGGUUUUCCACUCAGGUGAGACAAGUCCUGCCUUCAAGCUGCUAUGGAUACGCACUAUUUUGUGGCUACAUUUCAGUUCCCUUCCUGUAAAAGCAUUAUUUUUGCCUCUGGGGCUUGAUGAAAUAGGCUUGUUGGAUUGUGAAGUACCAAAUGUUGGAGGAAGGGAACAUAAUGGGAGGUGAGAAAUCUGCUUUUAAGCUCUCCAAGGCUACUCUGGAAACUUUAUCACAUAAACAAUGAAUCCAAAGUUAUAGAAGCACAAGACAUGGAGCAAAACCACCGAAAACCAAAAAACAUACAUGAGAGAAAAGUGCAUGUAAAAAGCAUUUCCAAGAUGCUGUUAGUGAAUGAGCAUAAAAGGAAAUGUCUUUCAGAUGAGCACAGAAAAGCAGAAGUAGCAGAGUCAAUUACUCCAAGCCUGCAAAAGCAAUUUGAUAUCCAAGAAUCCAAAUGAAACCCUGUGCCCCUUGGAGUCAGAGCUGGAUACAGGAAGUCUGUGUUGUGUGGAGCCCUGUCCAACCUGACUGUGAAUGUUUCCAGAGAUAGGACAUCUACCAACUCUCUGGGCAAGCUUUUUCAGUGAGCUGGACACAGUGCUCUAGGUGGAGUCCUGGCAGAGUAAAUAUUCCUUUGAAGACACUUGGAAAUAGCUGUAGAAGGAAGACUGUUAGGUCACAGGACCUGGGAGGUGUGAUGCACUGUGGUUAUGAGGUACAGCACACACACCAAAGUAGCACACCAAAGGUAAACAGCAGAGCCAGGUAACUUCUGGACUGAUCCCUGAAUCAAAUGGAUAAUUAUGAAUUAGAGAUCCAGCACCCACACUGUUCCUCUAGAAAGGAAAUGGUGACAUUUGUCUGAUAGAGCAGGUUGCUUUUCUGACUGCUACACCCCACUGCAAAAAUAAAGGGAUGACUCUGACCUGUCUAAAGGUUAAUUAAAAGAAGUCACAAGUCAGAUAAAGGCCAGAUCUU